rnacentral:rRNA from 1 species
UACGUAGGGUGCGAGCGUUUAAUCGGAAUUACUGGGCGUAAAGCGUGCGCAGGCGGUUCGUCGUGUCUGAUGUGAAAUCCCCGGGCUCAACCUGGGAAUGGCAUUGGAAACUGGCGAACUAGAGUGUGGCAGAGGGGGGUGGAAUUCCGCGUGUAGCAGUGAAAUGCGUAGAUAUGCGGAGGAACACCGAUGGCGAAGGCAAUCCCCUGGGCCUGCACUGACGCUCAUGCACGAAAGCGUGGGGAGCAAACAGG